ACCGCGUCCCCGCCCACGGCGAGCUCGCGGUCUGCGGGGAACGGCGGUGUUUGGGAAGCGCUUACCGGGUGCUGAGGUGAACGACGAUAAUCGGAAUAACGGCGCCGUGGGUGUUGGGUCAUCCGGAAAACGGGGAUCGAGACCGAGCCCCGCGUGGGACGGGGGCCGCGUCCGACCCGACUCGCUCGUCUCCACCCCCGGCGCUUAACCCGGUGUCUGGAACAGUGGCGAGCGCUUAACGGAUGCCGCAGUUCUUCUCCUCCUUCUUCUUCUUCUUUGAUUUUUCGGGACGCCGCCCCGGCGCUGUGGACUGGAAGCCCGUCAGAGGACGGGGACCGUCUCCCUCCGUUACCGAUUGGUCCAUUCCAAGCGCUCAGUACGGUGCCCUGCACGUAGGAAGCGCUCAAUAAAUACUACGGAAUGAAAAUACAGAUAUCCCCACAGCCCGGCACGCCCAAGCGAGGAAAGCGGAGAGGAACUGAACUAAGUGACCCUUGAGAUAGCGGGCGUUUGUUGUUGCGUCUUUUGUUUUUCUGAAACGAUGUUUGCAUCCGCAGCUGAAAAUGGAAACUGUAAAGUUAUUAGCGACGAGUAAAUCUGAUAAAGUUAA